rnacentral:misc_RNA from 1 species
CAUACGUAUCCACACCCCUCUGUGUGUGUGUCUGUGAUCGCAAUGACGACCGCGCAACUCGCCUGCACGUACGCCGCGCUCAUCCUCAGCGCGUCCGGCAAGACCGAUGCCGACUCCAUCUGCGCCGUGACGAAGGCCGCUGGUGUCGAGGUGAGCCACGGCAUGGCCGCCGCCUUUGCCAACGCCCUCGCCUCCGUCAACGUGAACGAGGUGCUCGGCAGCAUCCGCUUUAGCGGUGCGGCCGCUGGUGGCGCUGCUGCCCCCGCUGCCGCUGCCGCCGCGAGUGGCGCGGCCCCGGCUGCGGCGGCCGCGAAGGAGGAGCCAGAGGAGGAUGCAGACGACGACAUGGGCUUUGGUCUGUUCGACUAAGCUCUUCGGAUCGCAGCGAGAGAGUGUACGCACGUGCGUGCGGGUGUGUCGCGGGCUUCGCCCUUUACUUUUAGUUUGUGUGCAUCGCUUCUUCAUUUUUUAAUGGCCCGCUUCGAACGAAAGCGAAACAAGACGAGAUGGCGUCACGACGAGAGACAGACGGACGGACAGAGAGAAGGACCGCGGAGGGAAGGCACAGAUGUAGCCGCACCUCGAAUCGCCAUUCCUUUCGAGCCUUCAUCUCGCGCUCUCUCGCCUAUCAUGAGCGGCGUCAAUGCACUUGCCGCCUACUUGUCAGUGCCGUGCCUGACGUCUGUGUGUGUGUGUGUGUGUGUGUGUGCACCACACUCGUCUUCCGUGUGCCCGACAGCGGGUGAGGUUGGGUAAGGGCCCGAUUUGGUAGUAUCAGGCAAUGUCCACGUUGCUCGGCAACGUAGGGCCGAGAUAGGAUAUGGUAGAAACGGCAUGUUGCUUGAAGGAGGUGCUCUCCGCCCUCCCCUGCCCCCGCUUCCAGUCCCGACUCCGCUCAGUCACUGCACCGCAACUCUCGCAUCAUUGACGCAAACAUCUCACUUCCCUCGGUCUCGGUCUCUUUUCUUGCUAACGCACUUCUGCGUGGCGCAUCACGCACGCAUUCAUCUUCGCACGCGUGGCCGCGUGUGUACUUGUGUGUUCGCGCGUCGCCCCCCCCCCUCCGCCCAUCUCCCUACCGGUGUCUUACUGCUCCUGUGAAAG